rnacentral:rRNA from 1 species
CAGUAGCCGCGGUAAUACGAAGGGUGCAAGCGUUAAUCGGAAUUACUGGGCGUAAAGCGUGCGUAGGCGGUUUGUUAAGUCUGCUGUGAAAUCCCCGGGCUCAACCUGGGAAUGGCAGUGGAUACUGGCUCGUUAGAGUGUGUCAGAGGAUGGUGGAAUUCCCGGUGUAGCGGUGAAAUGCGUAGAGAUCGGGAGGAACAUCAGUGGCGAAGGCGGCCAUCUGGGACAACACUGACGCUGAGGCACGAAAGCGUGGGGAGCAAACAGGAUUAGAUACCCGCGUAGUCCCUGUCUCUUAUAA